CCUACGGUAGGCAGCAGUGAGGCAUAUUGGUCAAUGUGCGGGAGCCUGAACCAGCCAAGUCGCGUGCGGGAAGAAGGUCCUGAGUAUUGUAAACCUCUUUUGCCAGGGGACAAAGGCGGCCACGGGUGGCCGUAAGAGGGUACCUGGAGAAAAAGCAUCGCCUAACUCCGUGCCAGAAGCCGCGGUAAUACGGAGGAUCCGAGCGUUCUCCGUAUUUAUUGGGUUUAAAGGGAGCGUAGAUGGGUUGUUAAGUCAGUUGUGAAAGUUUGCGGCUCAACCGUAAAAUUGCAAUUGAUACUGGCAGUCUUGAGUACAGUUGAGGUAGGCGGAAUUCGUGGUGUAGCGGUGAAAUGCUUAGAUAUCACGAAGAACCCCGAGUGCGAAGGCAGCUUACUAAACUGUGACUGACAUUGAUGCUCGAAAGUGUGGGUAUCAAACAGGAUUAGAUACCCGGGUAGUC
rnacentral:rRNA from 1 species